GCGCUGGGUUGUAUAUUGACAUUCCGUGGUUCGGUAUACUACAAGUUGAAUCAACUAACUGUGGAGUACUAUCCGGAGUACUUACCAAGAUGUGCAAUAAAAUUUUGUUUAUUAUUGUUUUUGGGCUUGCUUUGUCCGAUGUGAUCUUGCCAACUGAAGCAGAUGGCAAUAACAUGAGCGAUCCUGCUGGACUAAAGAAAAGCUGCUCUACUGAACGUGCAGCCAAACCAG
rnacentral:lncRNA from 1 species